rnacentral:sRNA from 1 species
UUGAACCCGGGAGGCAGAGGUUGCAGUGAGUGGAGAUCACGCCACUGCACUCCAGCCUGGCGACAGAGCAAGACUCCAUCUCAAAAAAAAAAAAAAUUAGCUGGGCCUCAGGAGGCUGAGGCAGGAGAAUCACUUGAACCCGGAAGGAGGAGGUUGCAGUGAGCCGAGAUCGCGACACUGCACUACAGCCUGGGUGACACAGUAACUCCAUCUCAAAAAAAAAAAAAAAAAACUCCAAAACUCCAGUAAGGUGUUUGGAGGAAGGAGGGGUGGGUGUGCUGAGAUGCAGAGGAAGGAUGGUGGCUGUGCUGGGAUGGAGAGGAUGAAUGUGCCCUCACCAGGCUCAGGGGAGAGAGGGUCCUCGUGUUCCACAGCAGUCACGAUGUGCCAAGGCCCUGUGCCAGGAGCAGAGCACACGGCACGUUGAGAGAACAAAAGCCCCAUGGCCAGGCCGGGAGAGCAGGGCUGUGGGGCAAGAGGGCCGACUGCCAGGCUGCCGGUGUGUCUGGCUUUCAGAAUCCGGGUCAUUGAAAGGCUUUUUACCUUUCCUUCUGGGCUCGAAAUUACUUGCCUUACCCAGGCCCCGUCACCCACACAGUGGUCAUCGUGAUUAUUCCUGCCGGUAGGGUGUCGUCGCAUUGAGGAAUCGCAGUUCUUUGCUGCCUCCCUCCCUGUGGACCCCAGGCUUUCGCCCUCACUAGAGCUCCUUAGGCCUGGGCCACUCAGCGUCCUGUACAGUCCGGCUGCAGUAGCCCUUUGCACCGUGAGGGUCUCUGCUUAACACAGGCCCUGGAAGCUUCUGCCUUUGCAUAAGAAGUGUGUGCUCUCAAAUCGUCGGUGCUGAAGGAGACAUUGAAACGGCAGCUUUUCUGAAAAGCAAGGCACCUGUGCAGUGGCCGAGGAUGGCUGUGGGAGCCUCGCUCCGGACCCCAUGCCUGCCUCAGCCGAGUUGGUCUCCCUCAUCCUGUUCCCGCUGUUCACACCCCCACGCUAAGCUGAUGAGGAAGCCUCACGGCCCACCCAGGGAAUCCAGGGCCUGUGCUCAGCUGCUGCUGCUCUGCCCCCUGGCGGCCCCUCCGUGUCCCUGCAAGGGAGGCAGCUGGCAGGCAGCCCCGUGAGCUGGGUUGGGUCCCACAAGUCUCAGUUCAGUGUCAUUUCUGACUUUUCUUGACUUUCUUUCAGGCUAAGUCCCAUCAGCCAUGGAAACACAAUUGCGCUCUUCUUCCGGUCACUGUUGCCAAACUAUACCAUGGAGGGGGAGAGGCCCGAGGAAGGAGUGGCUGGGGGUCUGAACCGCAACCAGGGCCUGAACAGGCUGAUGCUGGCUGUGCGCGACAUGAUGGCCAACUUCCACCUCAACGACCUGGAGGCGCCGCACGAGGACGACGCUGAGGGGGAGGGGGAGUGGGACUGAGCGUCCGCAGAGGUGACUGAAAAGCCGUACGAUGAUGUUUCUGAUUUCUGUGCUGGUCGAAAUCGGCCAGUUCCCUGAAGUAGGGAAGCUGACUGUGUCACUCCCUGGUCCACUGUUUCUCCUAUAAACGUAAAUGGGUC